rnacentral:rRNA from 1 species
AUGCUCGACACCUACGGGAGCAGCAGUAGGGAAUCUUCCACAAUGGGCGCAAGCCUGAUGGAGCAACACCGCGUGAGUGAAGAAGGGUUUCGGCUCGUAAAGCUCUGUUGUUGGAGAAGAACGUGCGUGAGAGUAACUGUUCACGCAGUGACGGUAUCCAACCAGAAAGUCACGGCUAACUACGUGCCAACAGCCGCGGUAAUCUGAGCGGGCUGGCAAGGC